rnacentral:tRNA from 1 species
GCGAGCGUAGCUCAGCUGGUAGAGCACCACGUUGCCAACGUGGAUGUCGCCGGUUCGACCCCGGUCGCUCGCUCCA